rnacentral:misc_RNA from 1 species
UUAAAAAAAAAAAAAAAAAGAACUUGUGUACCAAGCAUCAAAAAAUAAUCUGAAAUUUCAGAAGUGAAAAACACAAUAAAAACAUAUUCCAUGAUACUCUGUAUCAUUUGCAAAAAAAAAGGCACAAAUAAACUAAGGCGCGAGAAAGAUGGUAUAUCUCCAAAAGAAUGUGUAUGGUCUACACAAGCAAGACACAGUCAAAAGGAUGAAAAAGAAAUUACAGAGACAGAAUUCUUCCCAUCUUCACACAUGACCAAAACAUGUGA